AGUAUCUGUUGUUGAACGAAUGUAGAGACAAGAUUAAUGAGGCAGGGAGUGAAUAAUAACACCAGAAAAAAUGACUAGAAAGGGUGUUAUGAAAGGGAGUAUCCACUUCCACAUAGGGUUUUUGAAAGUUCAGGAACUAAAGGCCUGCUGUUCCUUGGAAUUCUGUAUGUCUGGUUGUAGCUCUUGUAUUUUAUGUCUCACUAUAACAGAAUUGGUUGAUGUAGAAACAGCAUUCUUCUUGGAGGAGCAGGCAAUGACCACCUUCCUUAGCUGUCAGGACAUCCAGCCCCCAUAGGUUCUGAAGCACCACUGCAGCUGAAGAAUCAAUCUGUUUCUGGAUUGUCAGCAUGGUGUCAGAUUUUUUCGAAAACCGUUGUUAAUCUUCUAAGUGAACUCAUUAUAUUAGGUCAUGAAGUAGUUAUCCCUACAAUCCCAGUGCCAGUGCCUAUGGCUAUUCCCGCAGUGACCAAGUGUGGCACGACCCGAGCUGCCCUCUUAUGCUGGGCAGCUAUCAUAUCUACAACUGGGAUUGGCAGGGGCUGGUUUCCCUGGAUUACCCCUCGUUCAGGGAGAAGGAGCACCAACGUGCAAACUCCUGACCAGCUGGCAGGCAGGCGAUGAUAACGUGUUUUGGACAGCAGGGCAUUGUGACAGAGAUGGGGUGUCAAGGGUAGUGGUUCUAUUACAGCAUAGGGAGUCUAGCGUUCCUAUAGAAUGUGCCCCAGAUGUCUUAAAACAGUUUGCCAUGCCAAAAAGAGGGAGAGAGAAAAGGCAUGGAGUCAAAAGUGGCAGUUGUGAGUUAGUUCCUGGGGGUACACACAGCCAGCAAUCUUUAAAGUGGCCAGGUCAGGUGACAUUAAGGAGUUGGUAUGCCCAGAUCAAGGUCUAAAGCAAAAGGUGAAAUGAUGAGUUAGUGCCAUUUAUGAGGGGGAUGUCAAAGAGGUGACUUCUUGGAGUUUUUCAAAAUUCACUGGUUUUAAGACUGUCUGUAAAGACGGCCAGGAGACAGGUCAUGAGUCUACCUCUGGCUAAAACAUCACAGGUGGGAUUCUAACUCCAUCCAGAUCUUGGUCAGGUGCUGCCUCAGACCCGAUUGGGUAUGAUCCAUCUGUUUGAUGGAUCUCGUCUGCAUGUGUUCUCUCCUGCUCCCAAACUCAGCGGCGUCCCUCAGGAAGUAGAUUAUUAGUAAGGACCAUAUUACAUCACAGCUGUAAGACUGAGCAAUGUGCUGAAACUCUUUAAUAAAGGCGGAUGAGUUAGAGGUAUGGGAACCCAGUCUGCUUUAGAGAGCAAACAUACAUAAAUGCAUAGAGGACCUCUUUGCAUUUACCAGACCACUGGCAGUAUGUAUGAAGAUCCCGUAAGACUAUAGAAUCUACUGUGCCAUUAAGUGGCCAUUUGGAGCCAUUGUCCAGUAGGUACUGAGUCCACACCUCAUUGAAAAGGUGUAUCAGUUUUGAUGCCCUGAAGUGGGGCGUUCAUUUCAGAGAUUUGAAAAUUUCCAAAAGACAUGUUCGAAGACAACGAGUUACCCAUUAGGGAGUUACUGAAUUAUUCAUACUGGUGUCCCCGUGAGAAAUACAGUAACAGCACUCUGCCAGGCCAGGCGUCUGAGUCGUCACUUAGACUCCCAGAGGCUAUAUACGGGGAGUCCCUGACCCACCAGAAAGUGUUCCUUCCCAGGCCUGGGAAUUUCUAAUCGGCUGCAAGAGCCCAGAGGGGAGGGGGGCAGGGAACGGCUUCCAGGGGAAUAUUCGCCCAGUGGUCGAAGUCUUAUCUUGGCCCUUGGCUGUGGAAGACCAACGCCCUACCCAUAAAGGCUGGGUAAUCAGGCCCUACUUGGGAAAUCAGAGGUUCUCCUUGCCAACCAGAGGGAAAAAAACUACCAAUCUGCAGGUGUUUGUGCAAGGAUUUUAGCGGUCUGGUAGCAGGAAACGUGAAACCAUAUGGUUGGUGAGGGCCUGUCUGACUACGUGACCCACGUAGCAAGAGCGAGCACCAUGUGGUGGACCACGGCAGGCAGCAGCUCAUGUAGAAGUCUGUGUGUCCUGCACAGCUGCAGCAGCAACUCACGAGGUGGAAGUCGGAGUCCUGCGGCAGCCAGCAGGUGGUGGUGGUUGAACAGCGCUGCCUGGAUUGAAUUCGAGUGGCAGCGCUCAGCAGGAAGGGAAGGGCUGCUGCACGCCGCUUUGGCGGUAGUGAGCACAUGGCACCAGUCCAGGCACAGGCAGGGAGAGGUCUAUUCCCCGUACUGGUCACCAAUUUUGGGAUGGAAAUCAUGGAUCGCAUCCAGACAAACCACACCAGGCCAACACGGUCUCAAGUAGAGGAGGUUUGUUGGGAUGGCGGAGACAAGGCGGAGUAGGUAAGAGAGGGAGAGAGAAAAGAGAAGAAAGAGAAGAGGAAAGGUCGGCCUUUUAUUUGAAAUGUGACUUAACUGCUCUCAGGUGAAGGUGGGAACUUAACCAAAGGUAUGCUGGGAAUGUAUGGCCAUUGCCAUGGUAACAGAUGCACAGGUGACAUCACCGCUGGAGGUGAAAGCAGUUCUUGAUACCAACACUAGGAGCUAUAAGUAAUGGGAUUUCACAGUAACGUAAG
ensembl:lncRNA